rnacentral:rRNA from 1 species
CGAGUGGCGCACGGGUGCGUAACACGUAUGCAACCUACCCUUAACUGGGGAAUAACCCUGUGAAAGCGGGGCUAAUACCCCAUAACAUUAUGGUAAGGCAUCUUACUAUUAUCGAAGAUUUGUCGGUUAGGGAUGGGCAUGCGCCCUAUAGUGUGUUAGGUUAGGUAACGGCUAACCAAGACUGUGAUGGGUAGGGGUUCUGAGAGGAUUAUCCCCCACACUGGUACUGAGACACGGACCAGACUCCUACGGGAGGCAGCAGUAAGGAAUAUUGGGCAAUGGACGCAAGUCUGACCCAUCCAUGCCGCGUGCAGGAUGACGGCCUUAUGGGUUGUAAACUGCUUUUGUAUGGGAUUAAAGUGUUGUACGUGUACGACAUUGCAAGUACCAUACGAAUAAGCAUCGGCUAACUCCGUGCCAGCAGCCGCGGUAAUACGGAGGAUGCAAGCGUUAUCCGGAAUCAUUGGGUUUAAAGGGUGCGUAGGUUGAUUAUUAAGUCAGUGGUGAAAAUUCCGGGCUCAACCCGGGACUUGCCGUUGAAACUGAUAAUCUUGAGUGUAACUGAUGUGGGCGGAAUUGUGUCAAGUAGCGGUGAAAUGCCAUAGAUAUGACACAGAACACCGAUAGCGAAGGCAGCUCACAAAAUUACAACUGACACUGAGGCACGAAAGCGUGGGUAUCAAACAGGAUUAGAUACCCUGGUAGUCCACGCUGUAAACGAUGAUCACUAGCUGUUUGCGAUACAUUGUAAGUGGUUUAAGCGAAAGCGAUAAGUGAUCCACCUGGGGAGUACGUCGGCAACGAUGAAACUCAAAGGAAUUGACGGGGGCCCGCACAAGCGGAGGAGCAUGUGGUUUAAUUCGAUGAUACGCGAGGAACCUUACCUGGGCUUGAACGUAUGGUGCAUGAGUGUGAAAGCACUCUUUCCUUCACAGGACUUCAUACGAGGUGCUGCAUGGUUGUCGUCAGCUCGUGCCGUGAGGUGUUAGGUUAAGUCCUGCAACGAGCGCAACCCCUGUUUUUAGUUGCCAGCAGGUUAUGCUGGNCACUCUAGAAAGACUGCCUGCGCAAGCAGAGAGGAAGGUGGGGAUGACGUCAAAUCAGCAC